GAUGAACGCUGGCGGCGUGCCUAAUACAUGCAAGUCGAGCGAACGGACGAGAAGCUUGCUUCUCUGAUGUUAGCGGCGGACGGGUGAGUAACACGUGGAUAUCCUACCUAUAAGACUGGGAUAACUUCGGGAAACCGUAGCUAAUACCGGAUAAUAUUUUGAACCGCAUGGUUCAAAAGUGAAAGACGGUCUUGCUGUCACUUAUAGAUGGAUCCGCGCUGCAUUAGCUAGUUGGUAAGGUAACGGCUUACCAAGGCAACGAUGCAUAGCCGACCUGAGAGGGUGAUCGGCAACACUGGAACGGAGACACGGUCCAGACUCCUACGGGAGGCAGCAGUAAGGAAUCUUCCGCAAUGGGCGAAAGCCUGACGGAGCAACGCCGCGUGAGUGAUGAAGGUCUUCGGAUCGUAAAACUCUGUUAUUAGGGAAGAACAUAUGUGUAAGUAACUGUGCACAUCUUGACGGUACCUAAUCAGAAAGCCACGGCUAACUACGUG
rnacentral:rRNA from 1 species